rnacentral:rRNA from 1 species
AGCGAACGCUGGCGGCAGGCUUAACACAUGCAAGUCGAGCGGGCGUAGCAAUACGUCAGCGGCAGACGGGUGAGUAACGCGUGGGAACAUACCUUUUGGUUCGGAACAACACAGGGAAACUUGUGCUAAUACCGGAUAAGCCCUUACGGGGAAAGAUUUAUCGCCGAAAGAUUGGCCCGCGUCUGAUUAGCUAGUUGGUAGGGUAAUGGCCUACCAAGGCGACGAUCAGUAGCUGGUCUGAGAGGAUGAUCAGCCACAUUGGGACUGAGACACGGCCCAAACUCCUACGGGAGGCAGCAGUGGGGAAUAUUGGACAAUGGGGGCAACCCUGAUCCAGCCAUGCCGCGUGAGUGAUGAAGGCCCUAGGGUUGUAAAGCUCUUUUGUGCGGGAAGAUAAUGACGGUACCGCAAGAAUAAGCCCCG